GGGCUACUCUCUAUUGGCAUGCAGUUUGUCACACAUUUCAGCUGACACGCCAAAGGGGAGCUGCCCUA